CUGUUUUUUUUUCAUUUUUAUUUUUUUAUAAGCAAAAAUCUUUCAAUUAAAACAUUUUUUUCUAUCUCUUAAAUUUUUGACAUAUGCUUCAAAUGAAAAAAACUAUUUUUCUUCAAAAGGAUGUUACAUUCCCUAAAAUUGAGAUUGGGCACAUACAACAAAAUACAUGUAUCCCUUAUUUUGAUCUGUAUUACAACAUAUUAAAGGCUCAUCAAAAUCGCAGAGGGAUACUUACGUAGCGCACAGAGUGGUGCGUGUACCAGCGUGUAUAGACGUUUUUAAUUAUUUUUGGAAAAUGUCGGAACAGAACUUUAUCCAUACAUCAUAGAAUUUGUAAUAAAAUAAGUUUCAUUUUGCUUAUAAAAAGAACUAAAAAUUAAAAAAAAAACAGGUAAGUGGUGAGAAAAAGUAUAACAAAAUUUAAGGGGUAACGCCACUGUAAAAUAAAUAAAAUCGAUUUUUUUUAUUGCUUUAAAAAAUGCUUUGAACCUUCUAGAAUGAGUUAAAAAGUCUUGUGUCUGUUACAAAUUUUUUUUUUUGAAAUUUUGCGCUCUUAAGCGUGUCGGACUGCUCCAAAACGACUAUCUACGUCACAUCAAUACUUGCUUGAAGAGUACAGCCUAAUGACUUAUCUUCUGAUUUCUAAGUACUUUAAUACACCAACAGAUGUCAAAAGUAUGUACAAAAGUACGUUAGUAUAGCGUCAGUACAUCUACAAAAGGACAUUUCAUGUGUUGCGAGCACAUCAUUUCUUGGGUUGAAAACUUGGUUUUUAUGGGCAGUGCUAAUUUAAAAUCAUUUAUUCGUGGCUUAAGAGUUGUCAUAAAAAUCCGCAACACGAGAAGUGCUCAGAGUCUUGGUGUGAUUGGAAAAAGGCACAAGCAGCGAAUUUCUCAGGUACUUUCCAUCAUAAGCCGCCAUUACCAAAAGAAAUUUUUCAAGCCGUCAAACCUACUUACGAGGAGCUGAGCCGUGAUGAGUUGCUUGAGAAGCUACACUCAAAAUAACAACGAAAGUUUCAAUGCUGCUGUAUGAAGCUUGGCUACAGCAGCAUUGAAACUUUCGAUUUUAAAUCUUACUCAAGUGGCAAAAAAAGUAUUGUGUGUAGCAACUGAUAUUGCUGUAUGCACCUCUAAUAAUGGUUUGACUAACAUUUUACGAAUUAUGCAAGUUUUGGAGAUGGAUAUCGGUUACCAAACAUAUAAUUUUUGCCUUGAAGCCAAUGCGACAAGGAUCAAGCAUGCCGAGCAAUCUAUAACAGAUGCGGCAAAGAAGGCACGCACCGGUAUAAAAUGAACGCGGAAACAAAAUCAGGAGGAAUAUUUGAGUGAAAAAGGGAUUUUACGAUCCUGGAAUAGCAGACUAAUGGUAAAUAUCUACGAUAGUUCUAUUGCGUGCCGCAGACUACUUUAUACUGAACACGUCUCAUGAAAAUGUCUCUAGCGUCGCCAUUUUGUAAUAUUUUUUAAUAAAAAAAUUUAUUGAACACUUAAAAACAUA